rnacentral:rRNA from 1 species
GACGAACGCUGGCGGCGUGCUUAACACAUGCAAGUCGAACGGAAAGGCCCUGCUUUUGUGGGGUGCUCGAGUGGCGAACGGGUGAGUAACACGUGAGUAACCUGCCCUUGACUUUGGGAUAACUUCAGGAAACUGGGGCUAAUACCGGAUAGGAGCUCCUGCUGCAUGGUGGGAGUUGGAAAGUUUCGGCGGUUGGGGAUGGACUCGCGGCUUAUCAGCUUGUUGGUGGGGUAGUGGCUUACCAAGGCUUUGACGGGUAACCGGCCUGAGAGGGUGACCGGCCACAUUGGGACUGAGAUACGGCCCAGACUCCUACGGGAGGCAGCAGUGGGGAAUAUUGCACAAUGGGCGGAAGCCUGAUGCAGCAACGCCGCGUGCGGGAUGACGGCCUUCGGGUUGUAAACCGCUUUCGCCUGUGACGAAGCGUGAGUGACGGUAAUGGGUAAAGAAGCACCGGCUAACUACGUG